UACGUAGGUGGCAAGCGUUAUCCGGAAUUACUGGGCGUAAAGAGCGCGCAGGUGGUUGAUUAAGUCUGAUGUGAAAGCCCACGGCUUAACCGUGGAGGGUCAUUGGAAACUGGUCGACUUGAGUGCAGAAGAGGGAAGUGGAAUUCCAUGUGUAGCGGUGAAAUGCGUAGAGAUAUGGAGGAACACCAGUGGCGAAGGCGGCUUCCUGGUCUGUAACUGACACUGAGGCGCGAAAGCGUGGGGAGCAAACAGGAUUAGAUACCCCCGUA
rnacentral:rRNA from 1 species